GGUCUGACCUUGAGUCAACUCAGGAAAAUAUUUAGCAAGCCUUUGUGACUCCUAUCUUCAGCUGUAAAAAUAUUCAGAGAUAUUUAUCAAAUUAUUUAUAAUACAUUCCAACUGUACUGCAAGGCAGUGUCAAAUAGCAUUCCAAGCACAAAAAUGCUGGUUUAUCACUGAGGCUUCAGAGCACAAUAUCGCUGGCUCUUUUAAAACAGAACAGGUUUGACUUUCAGGUGUACUGACCCCAAAAUGCCAGCAUGUUAAAUUGUCUUUUGGACUGAGUGGCCACCGUGAAUGGUGAAAGGCAAAAGAGCUGGAAGUACUGCAGAGCUUCUCUUAACUCCCUCAGUCUUGAAUUUUCAGACAGUACGUGCCACCUGCUGUGAGCACAUCCCAAUGCUGUGCUCAAAUCAACACAAAUCGCUCAACCCUACCCAUGGAUGCAUGCACUGAUGGAGAAAACGUCUUGCAGUUCCAAGAGCGGGAGGGAGUGACGAGGGGAACAAUUCAUAGCAGAGGACGGAAGCUCCGGCCAGGGGCAGCACCCGCCACACUGCUCAGGGAGGGCACCGUCUGAGGCGGAACACCGCACACGGGGCAGCUGUUUCCUAGCCGGCGGGGAAAGCUAAGGAAGAAGCAAUGCGAGACCGCUGCCCUGAGGUAACGCACUGGGCGGGGCGGCGCGAGGGGCGCUAUGGCGGCGGGAGGCGGGGCAGCUCGGCGCUGCCCGCAGCAGGUGGCUCGGGGCGGGGCGUGCAGUGCCGCUUUACCGCCGCCGCCGUUACUACGGAAUCUGGAGUGGGCGUCCGUGUGGCUGCUCCGUGUUGGUGCCAGCUGCUGCUCCGUGAAGUGCUGAACGGAUAAAAGCAAAAACCAAAGCCUACAAUAUUGGCGUUGACAGCGUCACGGGACGCGAAUGUUAAGAAGUUUUGGCAAGUUACUCGUGUGAUUAUUAAAGCUUUUUUGGAGACGUCUUCCCAAACACUUUGCUGGAUGGGGCAGUGGAACAAUGCAGUUCUUUUCUGAGAAAACAAUUUGCGUUUCCUUCGUGAAUCUUUUAUUGCAUUGUGAACCCUUCAGAGAUGUAGGAAAUAUCCAAAUCAUUUUCUAGGACGGUAUCUCUGAUAAAGC